GUUGAGGCUGAAGUUUGGAAAGCUGUGGGCAGUAUAUAUGGUUAUAUCAAGGAGAAUGAACUAAGUAUCUAGUUGGGAAUUGUGGCAGAGCACGCAUUUACCACUACCUCGUCAGUUCAGGUGGAACUUAUAGGCUCAAGGAUUGUAGAAAAUAAUAAUAUUUUGAUGGUCAUGUUAGGAAGGAAGUACAGGGAGAAUCAUCUAUGGUGAAUAUCCUAGUGGUAACCAAUCGCUGAGUUAAAAUUCUGAAAGUAACAGAGUUAGUAAUCAAGUUGAGAAUAAAAAGUAUAAAGGGUACAAUUAAUGCUAAUGGGAUGAAUAUCGUCAAGAGAAAGGCACAAGGCAAAGAAAGACAAAGAGGAAUAGUAUGAGAAGAACACUAAAGAAUGUCUAGGGCAAGUUAUUGUAAAAUGGCAGGUUAAGGGAAUAGUGGAGCCUCGAUCUAAGUACCAAUAUUUUAAGAAAAUACCUCAAAUAAUAAGAAGUUUUAAGCAGAAAGCAAAGAACUCCCUUUUCUAGAAAAGAUGGUAGGAUAUGAUAAGUUGUUUAAACUGGGUGGCUUAGGAAUACAUAAACUUUUGUUAGGUCAGAGAAGAUAUCCAAUCCACUUUCUAAUAUUGAUAGAUAGAAUAUGAACGCUCAACGCUUAGAUGGAGCUCUACAUAACUAGUUACAUAAGAUUGGCAUGAGUUGAUUUGAGAACCUUAGUAAUGACACAAAGGAGAUUGAAAAUCGAAGUAUCAUGGGAGUGAAAAGAUGCAUAGGUACUAACCAUUGAAGUCAAAGGACAAGUAAAGAUUUAGAAUAAGAUGCCUAUGAUAGGUGCUACAGGAAACAUCUUAUAAAAUAUUAUAGGAUAAGGAACAUAAGUCAGGUCCUUGGGAAGCAGAAGGUUAAGGGGUAAGUGCCAAGGUUGAUUGAUGUUAAGAGACAUAAAGUCAAGUAUAGAGAGGUAUAGUGAAUACUUGAGAUGUCAAAAAAAUGGUCAAUGAAUAGUUAAGAGAUGAGAGCAUCUCUAGUAAAAAAAAAAAUAAUGACAGUUAGGGCACUACAGUAAA
rnacentral:misc_RNA from 1 species